rnacentral:rRNA from 1 species
CGUAGGCGGCUCAUGAAGGCUGUGGUGAAAGUCCGGGGCUCAACCUCGGAUCGGCCGUGGCGACUCGUGGGCUGGAGCACUGUAGAGGCGGGUGGAAUUCCGGGUGUAGCGGUGGAAUGCGUAGAGAUCCGGAAGAACACCAGUGGCGAAGGCGGCCCGCUGGGCAGUGGCUGACGCUGAGGCGCGACAGCGUGGGGAGCAAACA